rnacentral:rRNA from 1 species
GAUGAACGCUAGCGGCAGGCUUAAUACAUGCAAGUCGUGGGGCAGCAUGAGUGUAGCAAUACAUUUGAUGGCGACCGGCAAACGGGUGCGGAACACGUACACAACCUUCCUUCAAGUGGGGAAUAGCCCAGGGAAACUUGGAUUAAUACCCCGUAAUAUUAUGGAGUGGCAUCACUUUAUAAUUAUAGCUCCGGCGCUUGAUGAUGGGUGUGCGCCUGAUAGGUAGUUGGCGGGGUAACGGCCCACCAAGCCUUCGAUCAGUAACUGGUGUGAGAGCACGACCAGUCACACGGGCACUGAGACACGGGCCCGACUCCUACGGGAGGCAGCAGUAAGGAAUAUUGGUCAAUGGACGCAAGUCUGAACCAGCCAUGCCGCGUGAAGGAUGAAGGCCCUCUGGGUU